UACGGGGGGAGCAAGCGUUGUUCGGAUUUACUGGGCGUAAAGGGCGCGUAGGCGGCCACCGCAAGUCGACUGUGAAAUCUCCGGGCUUAACCCGGAAAGGUCAGCCGAUACUGCGGGGCUAGAGUGCAGAAGGGGCAACUGGAAUUCUCGGUGUAGCGGUGAAAUGCGUAGAUAUCGAGAGGAACACCUGCGGCGAAGGCGGGUUGCUGGGCUGACACUGACGCUGAGGCGCGAAAGCCGGGGGAGCAAACAGG
rnacentral:rRNA from 1 species